rnacentral:rRNA from 1 species
GACGAACGCUGGCGGCGUGCCUAAUACAUGCAAGUCGAACGCAGUGGGGACGGGGGAGUAACACGUGGCUAACCUCCCAUCAGAGGGGAUAACACUUGGAAACAGGUGCUAAACCGAUACUGAUGGAUGGACCCGCGGUGCAUUAGCGAGUUGGUGGGGUAACGGCGCACCAAGGCUACGAUGUAUAGCUGACCUGAGAGGGUGAUCGGCCACACUGGGACUGAGACACGGUCCAGACUCCUACGGGAGGCAGCAGUGGGGAAUCUUGGGCAAUGGGCGAAAGUCUGACGGAGCAAUGCCGCGUGAGUGAAGAAGGUUUUCGGGUCGUAAAGCUCUUUUGUUAGGGAGGCGUUAUCUACCCAGAAAGCCACGGCUAACUACGUGCCAGCCGCCGCGGUAAUUC